rnacentral:rRNA from 1 species
GACGAACGCUGGCGGCGUGCUUAACACAUGCAAGUCGAACGAAGAGCGAUGGAAGCUUGCUUCUAUCAAUCUUAGUGGCGAACGGGUGAGUAACGCGUAAUCAACCUGCCCUUCAGAGGGGGACAACAGUUGGAAGCGACUGCUAAUACCGCAUACGAUCUAAUCUCGGCAUCGAGGACAGAUGAAAGGUGGCCUCUAUUUAUAAGCUAUCACUGAAGGAGGGGAUUGCGUCUGAUUAGCUAGUUGGAGGGGUAACGGCCCACCAAGGCGAUGAUCAGUAGCCGGUCUGAGAGGAUGAACGGCCACAUUGGGACUGAGACACGGCCCAGACUCCUACGGGAGGCAGCAGUGGGGAAUCUUCCGCAAUGGACGAAAGUCUGACGGAGCAACGCCGCGUGAGUGAUGACGGCCUUCGGGUUGUAAAGCUCUGUUAAUCGGGACGAAAGGCCUUCUUGCGAACAGUUAGAAGGAUUGACGGUACCGGAAUAGAAAGCCACGGCUAACUACGUG